CUGAAUCAGAAUGUGACCAUUUUAUCAAGACCUCCAGCAAUAUGACAGAACAGCAUGCAGGGACCAUACAGAAGAGGAAAAGACCUCUGCAGGCAAUGAUGCUGGGAGAGCAAACCUCCUGUGGCAUAGCAGAGUUCCUGGAGACCUCUGGGAUGCUCAUCAAGGUUAAAGCUGAUUUUCACCUUGUGCUUCUAUGACAUUCCCUUGGGAAGGCCACUAGCCACUAAACCUGCAUUUCACAUCACCCUUCAGCUUUUCCAUGAGGCCUUGCAGUAUUGGAGGCACUGUCACCAAUGUACCCUUUUUAAUUUGGUUUUGGAAUAGACUGAGAAGGAAUAAACGCAGUGUGCAAAGCCUGGAGUUUGGGGAUCCACAAGAAGAAACAGAAGAAGGCACGUGCUGAUGGCUGAAUGAUUUCCACAAACAAGGGAGGAUUGGACAUGUUUCAACAGAUCUAGUCUUUAUGAGUCCUUGUGGGAUGGGGACAGGCAAACCCACUGUGUCUGCCUUCAAGCUCAUUAUAAGAACAUAUAGAUAUUAACUG